AAAUAAAUUAGAAAUAAUACAAAGAUGGCGCAGGGAAGAUGAAUUGUGGGAGAGCCGUCAUGGCUUUUUUUUUGGGCAAAAAAAAAAAAAAGAGAGAGAGAGAGAGGAGAGAUAGAGGGAGAGAGAGAGGGAGAGAGAGGGAGAGAGAGAGAGAUGAAAAAAAUGGCAAAAGCCCCCCUGAGCUGCAAGUUCAAGUGCGGACGUGACGUCCCUGCGAACUUGAACGUCAGGAGCCUGGAUGGACAGAGACAUACAAAACAUGGGCAGGGCGAGCAGGAGAGAAGGGGAGGAGGGAAGGGUAGGCUAACACCAAUGGACACACAUCAGGGGCUGGACAUGAAAAAGAGACCAGGACAAGCCAAUGGACAGUGCUGGGAGGGGGAGGUGGGGGGGGGGCUCUCCAGACGCCAGACACAAGCUGCCUAAUGGGGGGGUGGGAAGGGAGGAGGUAGUGCUGAGAGGGGGGCAGGGGAGGCGCGGGGGCAUUGAGCUCACAAGUGGCCGCAGCCGAGUACAGGAGGAGACGGCAUGGCCAGGAGGAAAGAAAAGAAAAGGGGAGGGGGAAGGGAGAGGUGUGUGUUUGGGGGGAGGGGAACGUCCUCCCCGUGUCUCAGCCACCCUCUAAAAUGAAAGGUUAAAACAAGAGAUAGAAGUGCUUAAAUAAUAAGCUAAAGAUGUACGUAGAAAGGGACGAAGGGAACUCACAGAGGAGCAAAAAAAAAAAAAAAAAAAAAGGCGGGAGGGGGGAACCAGGUAGACACCCCCCUCCUUACACACACCCACUUCCCCCCUCCCCAGCUAGCCUCACACACAGCCCGGCGUGCAUGCAUCCUGGAGCAGAAGUGAAAGCCGACAUCAAUCUGCACUUUUGAAACUUUUCUCUCCCCCCCCCCCCCAAAUACAACAUGAAAAGAAAAACCAGAAGUUUAUAACUAAACUCUAAAGUUACAACUCAAGGACAGAAGUACCAAGGCUGGGGAGGGGGUGUUACGGAGAGUGGUAAAGAAUUAAUUGUAAAAGAAGUUUGUGUACCGUAGCAGCUAGAAAGGCAGAGGCUUUCAGGAGCCUCCGGCUCCCAGGUUGGGGAGAGAGGAAAGGAGAAAUUCUGUGUGUACAGGAGAGAAGCAAGACUGGGAAAUACUAGAAGGAGUUUCGGGGAGCAGCCAGAGAGUGAGGUAAGGGGAAAGGGGAAGCCCAAGCUCCAACUCAGCAUCUCCCUACUUACCCCCAUCCCCCACUACACCCCAAAGGCAGGCAGAAUAGGUAGCUAAGGAAGUCUGAGUGCGAGAAGGGACAAUGUCUUAAUGAAACUGCAAAGCACGAAUCUGAGCAAAGCGAGGUGCCGCGGCCCGAGAAGGAAGAAGGAGACAAGGGUAAAUAAAUAAAUAAAGACAGAAACACAACUCUUGAGACUCAGCGCCGUUACUGACAAGAGUGGGGAAGAGUCCAGGAGAGCAAAAUCGUUCAGGAAGGAGAGAUAAGCAGCUUGGAGGCGGGAGAUGCAGCGGUAACGGCAAUAGCUUCGGCCGCGCCGAAACUUACCCUUUAAUAUUGAGCACCCAUGCCCAGGAGAGCAGCCAGCGAGUUGCAAGGUUGUAAGGAAGAAUAAUCUCAACACAGGAAAUGAGAGAAAAAUAACUAAGAGGAAAUUAAUGCCCAAGAUAAGUAAGAAAAGAAUGGCAAGCUGGGAGGCAUGGUUAACAUAUUGGAUACAAGCCUCAGGAUCCAAAAGAAUCAGGAUACCAUUUAGGUAAAUCUAAGAUGAUGAAAUUCAAGCUCAUCAUACAGGAAACUGAGGCAAACAGGGUUAAAUGACAUGCCCUGAGACAAACAGCUAAUGAGUGACUGAGACUGGUUUCAAACACAAGAAGCCGUCCAAUGUUCUAUCUGUUGCACCAUCUGAAGAGUUGUGAUAUCCAGGUUUCAAAUCUAAGUCCUCUGUCUACAACGACCAGCUGGGAACAGAAAGUCACACACAGUCACACACACACACACACACACACACACACACACAAUACUUCAAACAUUCUGUUAGUUCCUUUAGAACCUCGAGUCCUGUGUUUAAUUUACUCUUAAAGAGUAGCAUACAUAAGAUUUAUGUUCAAAAGCAUUUAGUAAAUUUUAAUGAUGAAACUGAUCACAUAAAAAAAAAAAAUCAACCUGCAAAAACACUGACUGCAUACACCCAGUUCCCUGACUUUGUCAAGAGGCAGAAUAGAGUUAACUAAGAUCCAUUCUCUAAAGCUCAGCUUCUUAAACAGUGGAGAUUUGUAAUCAAAUAUGAGAGUCAAAAAUUAUGAUUUAUUAUCAGUAAAUAUUUCAUUUAUAUACAUAUUUCAUAUUCCUAGGGAUCAUGUAAAAAUUUCUUUGGCAAAAAGGGGUCACAAGUGGAAAAAGUUUAAGAAGCCCUGCUCUAAAGAAUGAUCAUUAUGAUGAAAAUUCUCCCACUAAACUGCUGCCAUACAGACCAGCAGCAGGAGAAUAACUUUUCUUCAUUUCACAUUCUACCCCACCUCCAGUUCCAGUGAGAAGAUGAUCGAGACAGCAGAUCUUUUCUAACAUUGUUCAAAAAAAACCAGCUGAUACCAUUCUUUUCCUUCCUCUCCCUGUUCAGUGCCCACCUCCUCAAAAACAACCGCCAAAUGUUAAGCAUUAAUUUUAUUCAGAUUGGCUGGGAAUUUUCAUAAGUGUCUUAGUUUUGGAGCUGUUGGGGUCCCAAUCUCCACUCCAUUUACGGAUUUCAAACUGAGAGCCUAGAAAAGAUAUAUAGAUAUAAAUAUGAAUAUACACAUAUAUGUAUUUGUAUAUAAGUAUAUGCACGUGUAUCUAUGUAUCCAUGUAUUUAUAUGUACAUAUACACAAAUAUACAUAAAAUACAUAUGUGUGUCAUACUCUGGGUCACAAAGGAUAGUAAGUAGCAAAGCCAACCCUUGAAACCAGAUCCGGUAGUGAAGCUUUCCAUUAUGGUAUGCUGCCCUUACUGAAUCCUGAGCCAUAAUAAUCAUUAGUUUUACAAUAAUAUGGCUACAUACUCAACUGUUAAGAGAUGGCCGGGGCCAUUAAAAGAGAUUGGUAGCUCCCUAGAGAUAUGGAGAAGAGAGAAUCCCUACAGGGAAGGAAGAGAGGCUUAGGGGAGAAUCAGGUCAGCUUGCCAAGCACUAGGUCUCCGUUAAAAACCUCAUAGCUCCUUGCAGUCCCGGAGGGGUUCAUGCAACCCAAGAAUUGCCCACCAUAAAUGUACUUCGGUGGUUGGGGGCAAAGUAUGAGGAAUCAGUAUCAUUUUUUAAGAAAGAAAAAGAUUUUUGCCCCAAAUUCAGGGCGCUGACUGAAUUUCUCCGAGGGGCACAGAGAGAGCUAAGAGAAAUUGCGUGAGAUGCUGGAAGACAGUUUUAAACUUCGGCGCCCCAUUUUCCUUGUACUUCCCUAGGAGGGAGUUCCACGAGUUUCCCGGCGAUUCAAAGUUGUUUUCUACUCAUUGUGGGGGGCACCCCCGCCUUGAAGAAAGGAAGAGAUAUCGUUGGGCAACGGUCCUCGAGCCCCAUUUCCUGCCCACGGUCUGCACGAGCCCGGUUCCGCGAGCACACCUCCGCUCGCGCUUCCACAUCGCGCGCUGGGCUGCCCGGGGUUCCGCGCGGGCGGGGGAGGGGCCCCGGGGAGCCUUUGUCUCCCGGCUGGCCGGCCGCAGUCAUCAGCGGCAGCCCAGCGUCCGAAGGCAGCUGCCGCCAUCGUGAGGCUGAAACUUGGUACUGCACCUCCCGUGGCCGCGUUGCGACCUCAAAGGCUCACCUGUUGACCAGCCAGCCUUGGAAACUUAAAAAACAAAAACAAAAAGAGCCUUCAUCUCUGAGUUGUUUUUGCUGUUUUAUUAUUUUAACAUAUUUUAGUUUUUAGUGAAAUGUUUAUGCCCCUUGGAAGUUAGCAUUUUAAUUUUCCUACAAAUAAGAGUCGAAUCUUUGGAUUUGUGGAAGUCCCAAUGCCUAGCAGAAUUCUGGGUGUUUAAUAAAUGCAUAGUGAAUGAAUUAAUAUAUCAUAAUAGGUAACAAUGAUUUGAUACAAUCAAUAAAAAUGGACAUAUAAAAAUGAUAUAAUCACUUCUAAUAAGAUAAGUAAAUUCUUGCAAAGUUGAACUAGAAGACGAGAGUUGGAUCAUCUAAUACAAAUAUUCAUUAACAAAUAUUUGUUUAAAAGAAUAUUUUCAAUAAACAAACUUGGGACAGAGAUAGAUAGAUAUUUGAAUCCUGCCUCAUACCAAUCAUAUGAACAUUGUUAAGUAUCUGAAUGUCAAUUUCCUUAUCUGUGAAAUAAGACCAGCAAUACCUAUAGUAUCUACCUCACAGGGUUUGUUGUAAGGAAUAAAUGAAACAAUGUAUGUAAAUAUCAGCUGUUAUUAAAGAGCUUUGACUUGAGAAUCAGGA